UUUCCACUGCGAAGUCAGCAGACUAGUCAAUCGAUUAGUAGGCGUUACAGUGGUGG
rnacentral:snoRNA from 1 species